rnacentral:rRNA from 1 species
CUGGAACGCGCCCCAGGCGCACCCAGAAACCCUUUGUGAACUUAUACCUUACUGUUGCCUCGGCGCUAGCUGGUCCUCCGGGGCCCCUCACCCCCGGGUGUUGAGACGGCCCGCCGGCGGCCAACCCAACUCUUGUUUUUACACUGAAACUCUGAGCACAAAACAUAAAUGAAUCAAAACUUUCAACAACGGAUCUCUUGGUUCUGGCAUCGAUGAAGAACGCAGCGAAAUGCGAUAAGUAAUGUGAAUUGCAGAAUUCAGUGAAUCAUCGAAUCUUUGAACGCACAUUGCGCCCUCUGGUAUUCCGGAGGGCAUGCCUGUUCGAGCGUCAUUUCAACCCUCAAGCCUGGCUUGGUGAUGGGGCACUGCUUCUUACCCGAGAAGCAGGCCCUGAAAUUCAGUGGCGAGCUCGCCAGGACCCCGAGCGCAGUAGUUAAACCCUCGCUCUGGAAGGCCCUGGCGGUGCCCUGCCGUUAAACCCCCAACUUCUGAAAAU